CGUUUAUCUCUAGUUUUAUUUCUUGUUUGCGUCUCUGCCUUGCUGGCUGAUAAGAUUGUUGACAGUUUAAGCAAUAUUUAUCUUUUCGUUUUGGUUUUAAUUGCCUAACUGAGUAGUUCAAUUUUUUCUUCAGAUUACUUUCAACUAAAAACUGUAUUUUUGAAUAAAAAUAGUAAAUUGGAAAGGUUUAAAUUUCAAAAUAUUGUUGUACAUACAUGUAUCCCCAAUUGUUUAUUCGCAUAACAUUUUCGUGGUGAACUACUUACAAAAUAAUGGUAUUUGUGGUACAACAUAUAAUAGUAUUGCGCAAUCGCGUCAGACCUAUGUAUAAACAUUGUAGAUGGAUAUUUACAUACAUGAAUAGAUAGAGUAAUAAUACGUGAUAAAAAUGAAAUAUAUAUACAGUAGAGGUUGCGAUGUGUGCUGAAGAGGGCAAAUGUAUACAUGUAUAUUAUAAAUGUGCAUUAUAAACGUACAUGAAAGGUGAAGAUAACGGAGAGUGGUCAAUGUCAUAACUAAUGAAUUUCGGUGUUUUAACAUUUCAUGGAAUUUGAUUUUUUUUUUUUUUUUUUUUUUUUUUUUUUUUUUUUUGUCUUCUACGAUAUUUACUGUCCAGGAACUUUUCUAAAAUCUAAUAAAAUUCAUAUACUAUUUGUUCGCUUGCAAGUUCUUUUGCGUUCCAUUAGAUAAAUUUUCACUUAAUAAUAUACAUACGUCACCAGCUGUGUGUGACGUCACGACCUGUAUGUAAAGUGCCACAAAUUCAGACGUAUGCUUAGUGCUCAAGACCGAAACAGCCAGUGUAUAUCUUUUUAUGUUGGGAAGGAACAGUGUAGAUGACUGUCGAUGGCUCGAAGUUCUUGAUCUCUCGAAGUGAACUGUCCCGAUUUUUCCUCUCUAUGUAACUGCAAGCAAAUAUAUCGCUAUGACGUCACAGUUUACUGCACUACGUUUAGUACGAAGGCUAUAUGCAGCUGCUGUAGACAUUGUUACUGUUGGGUCCAAUCGGAUCACUCGCUCGUUCUUUUCCGUAACCGGUAAGAAGACUCGGACGUGGAUCGGCGCAAGAAUUGCAUCAAAUCGAUGCAUUUCUUCGCCGGAAGCGCGCCCGUCGAUGAGGUGAGGUUAAAAGGCCAGAACCGAAUCCCUGAAUAAUGUGUUAUUUAUAUUUUCACCACAAAUUAGAUUCUUCCUUAUGUAUCUAUAGGUUAAAGUGAAUUAUGAAGUGGUAAAUUUAACCCUUCAUGGAUCCACGCUUUGAUUUCGUUAUAUGCUUAAACUAUAGCCGGAUUCAGGAGUUGUCUGUACUUGACAAGGAGACGGUAAUUUUGUGAAUAUGAUUUAGAGACACGUCAAGGAUUAGAAUGUGUGCUUUGCGUCACGUGACUGAAAUUGCUCACCGUGUAACUAGUGACUGCAAAGCCGAUGACGCCGGUGGCCUAGUGGUCGUGGGUUCGAGUCCUGGCCGCGACAGGGCCGACGUUGUGUCCUUGGGAAAGGCAUUUUACAUGAAUUUCCUCAUUCCACCCAAGUGUAAAAGGGAUGCCUGGCUAUAUACAGUGAAAGAUGUUGUAAGAAUGUAAGUGCUCUAGCGCUUGUAAUGGCAGCUUGCACUGUAUGCUUCCUAGGAUGCUGAGAAAGUUCUAGAUUGAUAUAAGGUCUGCCGGGGUAAAGCGCUUUGAGCAGCAUGCGCUGGAAAAGGCGCUAUAUAAAACCCAUCAUUAUAAUCAAUUAUUAUUAUUAUUAUCAAUAUGUACGAUACAUUUGUCAUGUAAAUGUGCACUUACAGUAUACGUCUAUCUUAAUAUGAAAAAGACCAAAUAAAUACAUAAACUUUAAACUAUGUUUUAUCUAUGCAAGAUAAAGUCCCGUGUUGACACGAAUAACAACGUGCCCAAAUCGACCAAAUCCCCAGCUUUGAAAAGCAAUGCAACGCGGUCUUAAGGACAUGCUAUGCACAAAUUCGUUAAAAUAAGCCGAAUUCGACGUUUCUUGACGGAUGGCAUGUAAAACACUUGUGCACUCUCUGGUGACAUCGCGACUGGAUUAUAGAAAUGCACUCUUAUAUAACAUCAACAACACGUUCAUCUACAAACUGCAAAGGGUGCAAAACACUACUGCUUGACUAAUUACCAGGACAAGAAAACGUGAACAUAUUCAGCCAAUCCUUUUGAACUCACUGGCUUUUUGUCAAAUAUAGAGUUGCAAUACAAACUUUUGGAAUAUGUGUUCAAAUCACUUCAUGGUUUAGCACCGGGCUAUCUUUCUGAACUAGACCUACGAAAUCACUUCGCUCCGACUCGUCAUACCAAUUGAUUGUGCCCCAAGUCCGAUCGAAAAUGUAUGGAGACCGUAGAUUUGACAGAGUGGCACCAUCUCUUUGGAAUGAACUUCCAGUGAAGUUGAGAAAAACUGACAAUCUCAAACCGUUCAAAACAGAACUCGGACCUAUUUUUUAAAAAGACUUCCUGUGAGAUGCAUAAACGUUUCUGGGUUUAUUGACUAAAUGAAUUUAGGAAUCUGACUCUUUUAAAGAUGAUUUAAGAAAAGGCGCUAUAUAAGUUAUUAUUUUAAAUCAAUACCAUGAUGUUAUCAAUAUGCGCUCCGAUUGCAAUAUAAUCUGAACCAUAA